GGUUAGGACGGUGGCUAUAGUAUAAGGCGAGAGAGAGAUCGUGAUAGCGAAAAAAGAUGUAGACAGUAUAAAAAAAAAGAAGAAUAAAAAAUAAAAAAAUAAAAACAAAAUUAAAAAUACUUUUCUUUAGGAAAAAAGUCGAAGAAUGAGAGAAAAAAGAAGAUGAAGAUAAAGUUGUACUAUUUCAUAAGAACGUUGCACUAUUUUAGAUAAAAGUUACUCUUUGAGACAAAAAUUAUACUAUUUGAGAUACAAGUUGCACUCUUUGUACAAAAGUUAUAUUUUUGGAGUGAAAAUUGCACUCUUUGGGUGAAAGCACUUUUUCUCCUCCUUCUUUUCCCUCAUUUUCUUAUACUUCUUCUACACCCAUCUCCUAUUCGCCUUCCACUUCCACCAAAAUAGAUCCACCACCCACCAAACCCACUUCUCGAAACCUACCGUUCCCACUGCUACAGCCGACAAU
rnacentral:lncRNA from 1 species